rnacentral:lncRNA from 1 species
GCACGCAGAGGUCUUAAAUCAGGUGAGAUCAGCUCAUAUUAUCAUAUUUUGGCACAAAUGUGAUUUUCCCAGCACACUGGGCUGGGGAGGAGGGUGGCUCUCAGCCCCUCAUGGCUGACUAAGUGGCACAGAUGAGGUUGGGCGAAGGGCCCACCAGGCUACCCAGCUGUCUUCAUAGGCCUUUAUCAGAAGGCUGGGAGGAGAUAGUCCUUCUCGUUUAUAAUCCAUGCUGUUUAAUCUGGUCUGAUUAUGACAACAACCGACAUUCUUAUUGCAAUUUGCAAGACACUUUACCUUACACUGUUUAAUGUAACUCUUGUAUGUAUUACACUCAUACCCAUUUUACAGAUGAGGAAAUAGAGGCUCAGGGGGAGAAGACGGUGGUGCAGCCAAGAGCCCUAGCUGUGAAAUCAUCUGAUGAGUUCCAGCCUUGGGUCUCCAGUUAGCUGCGGUGUCAUCUUGGACAAACUGCUUAAAUCUUUGUAUUUCUACUUUCUCAUCUGUGAAAUGGGGAUAAUGAUGGCUCUUCCACAGGGUUGUGGGGAGGGUGGCUCAGAAAGUGCAGGUAAAGCACUGCACUCAGUGCCUGGCAGGGAAGCCUCUCCUCUUAUGCAGUAAAUGCCUGAGCGGUGACUUGAGCCAGGUCUUCCGAUGCCACAGUUUGAACUCUUUCAAUAGAGUGGUGCUGGCUCUUAAUUUUUUAUGUUACACACUUCUGUUGGCUGCUAGCCCUGGAAAGCACGUGCACACUCACACAUACACACAUGCACACCUCUCUACCUUCUUAUUCUCCUGUAUCCCAGUCUCAGAAUUCAAGGGAAGGCGGGAACCCGGUUUAUUGCCAGAUGGAAAGUACCUACCACAGAAAGAAGCCUCCCUUCGUCUCUUUCCAGACCCAGAGCAGCCAUUUCGGUCCAGGUACAUCUCAAUGGUCUCAGGAGGGUGAGGGGAAAGCACCACUGACAAUCGCCCUAUUAGGUUGGCCCUGGGUGCAGAAUGUAUGUCUAACAGAAUGUACGUAUGUAGUCUUGUCCCAUUCCCCAUCCUCUUGGAGAGACAUGGGUCCCAGAAAAAAUCAAGUGAAAGUCUUCUUUGUCCUCUUGGAGGUGGGCCAAGGGCUUCUUUCAAGGACCUAUGCACUUCACAGGCCCUUUGGGAUUGGUGGCAUCGGUCACAUGGUAGCUGGUGACUCUGGAGUGGGUCCAGACUGUCCUAUGAGUUACUUUAAUCUGACUACAAGUUCUCUCUCUCAUCUACCCUCCACCCCCAGCAGGGAGGCCCCAGGGGGCCAGGACUGCACGUCUCUAGGAGAUGUGGCUGUGGUGGAGUUGUUGGUAAUUUGAGGACCUCAGCUGGUGAGAACACUGGCUUUUGAGAAGCUCAGUCCUCAUUUUCCUAAGCCCCACAAUCAGGUUCUCUCCAUUCUCAACUACACAUGCCAUGUGCUUGUUCAGGGCCAGGUGCUGGCUAAGCUCAGGGUUGCAGUGGAAAGAACAUGGGCUGGAAGUGAAUCCUUGGCUCUGCUCUGGCAGCACGUGAGCUCUCUUCCCUCCAGACAAUUGCUCACCCUCUGAGCCUCAGUUUCCUCAUUCAUAAAAGGAGGAUAGUAAGAACUACUGUCAGUGUUGUAAUGUUAAAUGAGAUACGCUACGAUAAACACCCAGCACAGAAUCUGGCCCCUGUUGAGUGCCCCACAAAUGUCAAUCCUUUGCUGUUCCAAGAUUUUCCCAGCCUCUGUCAAAAAUUCUGUGACUUUAGUGGCCAAAUAUGUUUAUACUGUGUACUUGUAGUAGAGACAGUUGGAAAUCCUUUUACUGGGUUAUGAGUUCCCAGUUUCUCUAAGUGUUGGCUGUUAACAGCUCAUAACUGCUGCCUGUGAUCUGGAGAAUUGCCCUCAGCUAAAAGAGAAGUCACAUCAUCCGGAGGUUAUACGCCCUAUGCACCCCUCACCCGUUGGGGCAGCCCAUAGACUACAGUAACUUACUGUCACCAGGUACAGAAGAAUGGACCCCUGCCUUAAGGUGUGACCACCUCUGGUGGUUUUGCAAUUCUUGCAUCAGACUGCUUGAGGGAUAAGGCUGAAACCAGACUCUCGCUCAGCCCGCAUCCUUGCUUAGCAUCUUCCCCUGCCGUAGCCUGCUUCCUUCAUUCUCUCUGUCCAGAGAACACUCCCACAAUAAAUCACCACAUUCAAUCCCUUCUAAAUCUUUGCUUCUUGGGAACACACCUUAUGGCAGAUUGUAUGCCAUUUUUCCACUUGCAUAAUUUAAAAACACAUUAUAUUCUUGCAUCCCUGCCCUCUGGAUAUUGUAUGGAUAGGAAUCCCCAGCCUCUUAUAAUGCAAUGUAUGGCUGGAAAUUCCCAAUUUAUUGGGAGUCGAGACUCAGUCUAAUGAGAUCAAGCGUGUGUGUGCUUGGUUGAUCUCAACAAUACUUUAAAUUUCUCCUGAGUCUUAGUCAUUAUCCAUGGCCACUUGCUCCAUUCUCACAAUAAUGUCAUCUGGUCAAAGCAUCAUCAAUUUCCUCUGCUGUUCCUCUGAAUGCUCCUCUUUUCCUUAGAUAGCAGUUGAAUGCCCACAAAAAAGUGACCAGAGCUAUUGGCCUGGCCUUUGCUGAUUUCUCAUAUGUUAGUGUUUACCUGGGCUCUGAGAAAAUUAUAUCUGUUGCUCAAAUGGUAUAUUGAAGUGUAACAUUUUAGAGCCAGAAGGGACAGCCUCAAGGAACCAAGCCCAGUGGUCCUCAACUGGGGGUGAUUUUGUCCGUUAGAGGACAUUUGGCAAUGUCUGGAGACCUCUUCGGUUGGCACACUGGAGAAGGGGUGGUGACUUCUGGCAUCUGGUGGCUAGAGUCCAAGGAUGCUACUAAACAUCCCACAAUGCACAGGGCAUCUGCCUGAAAUGAAGAAUUAUUCAACUCAAAGUGUCAGCAGUGCUGAGGUUGAGAAACCCUGGUUCAUUCUACCACCUUGGUAUCAGGGAGGUGACUGAGGACUCCGGAUGCUGCAGUGGCAGAAUUAAAACCUGAGUUUUACUUUCUACUGAUCUUGCUGUCUCUUUAUGUUGUCAUAGGAUCAGGCCUAUGUAGGAAGUGUGUGAUGACAAUCUUUCUACAGAAUAAAAAUCUCCUAGAGCCAGAACCUGUCAAGAAAUUCUUAUUUCUAAGUGGACACUCAUGAGGUAUCCAUGCCAGUGUGGCGAAUUACUCUCCCUGCAAAAAAAAUAUAAAUUAUGAUACUCAACUUUGAUAUUUGUUUCUAGUCCUUUAACAGACCCA